AACGAACGCUGGCGGCAGGCCUAACACAUGCAAGUCGAGCGGACCCUUCGGGGUUAGCGGCGGACGGGUGAGUAACGCGUGGGAAUAUGCCCUUCUCUACGGAAUAGUCCUGGGAAACUGGGGGUAAUACCGUAUACGCCCUUUGGGGGAAAGAUAUAUCGGGGAAGGAUUAGCCCGCGUUGGAUUAGGUAGUUGGUGGGGUAAUGGCCUACCAAGCCGACGAUCCAUAGCUGGUUUGAGAGGAUGAUCAGCCACACUGGGACUGAGACACGGCCCAGACUCCUACGGGAGGCAGCAGUGGGGAAUCUUAGACAAUGGGGGCAACCCUGAUCUAGCCAUGCCGCGUGAGUGAUGAAGGCCUUAGGGUUGUAAAGCUCUUUCAGCUGGGAAGAUAAUGACGGUACCAGCAGAAGAAGCCCCGGCUAACUCCGUG
rnacentral:rRNA from 1 species